CUGGUUUGAACGGACUCGGCGUCACUUACCUGCAGACUCCACUUGGAGGAGUAGCGCCCCCAGGAGGAUGGAUAGGGUCAGUGCGGUCAGUCUCAUGUCUGCGGU